rnacentral:rRNA from 1 species
CACGAACCGGACAAACGUUAUUCGGAAUUAUUGGGCUUAAAGGGUGCGUAGGCGGUGCGGUAAGUGAGGUGUGAAAGCCCUCGGCUCAACCGAGGAAUUGCGCUUCAUACUGCCGUGCUGGAGGGAGACAGAGGUAAGCGGAACUGAUGGUGGAGCGGUGAAAUGCGUUGAUAUCAUCAGGAACACCGGUGGCGAAAGCGGCUUACUGGGUCUCUUCUGACGCUGAGGCACGAAAGCUAGGGUAGCGAACGGG